rnacentral:rRNA from 1 species
UACGUAGGGGGCUAGCGUUGUCCGGAAUCAUUGGGCGUAAAGAGCGUGUAGGCGGUCCGGUAAGUCCGCUGUGAAAGUUGGGGGCUCAACCCUCGAAUGCCGGUGGAUACUGUCGGGCUAGAGUGCGGAAGAGGCGAGUGGAAUUCCUGGUGUAGCGGUGAAAUGCGCAGAUAUCAGGAGGAACACCAAUUGCGAAGGCAGCUCGCUGGGACGUAACUGACGCUGAGACGCGAAAGCGUGGGGAGCAAACAGG